UUGGGCCUCAGGUUAUCUAUAUUUUUGGGUAGCAAUGUAGUGCCGCCUCCACGUGGCGCUGCCUGGGAUCACUAGUGGUUACUACUGCUAGUGAUGCUAAGAGCACUACAUACAAGAAGAAUAACAAUACUAACAGUUCAAGCUGAAAUAAAGAUGAAAUGUCAAGUGGAUUGAUGCUCAAGACUGAAGCUAGAGAUUUAUAUACUAGUUUUAAUUUUUUUUGAAAAUAAUUCUUUUAAAAUUUUGAUUGCAUGCAUUUAUAGCGAUUUGAACUGUCAUUGCCGGUUCUACAACUACUGCUGUGCAGCACUGCUAAAUGAGCCACCAACACAUGCACACAUCUUUUUAUAAUGAAUGUACAAAAUAUUAUGUUGUGUAGAAAUUCUAAUUCAAAUUUUAAUUUUUAAGGUUCCUAAUUUAUGUCAAGAUGUGCAUGUAUCUAUAUA